CUUUCCAGCCAUGUCACCCUGCAGCCCAAGACCGGUUACUCACUGAAGCUAAGCAGGGCUGAGCCUGGUUAGUACCUGGAUGGGAGACCGCUAGGGAACACUAGGUUGCUGUUGGAAGU
ensembl:rRNA 5S_rRNA 5S ribosomal RNA